UUUAAAGUUCGAACUCGAUGCGCACUGGCCCGCAAAGUCUGCACUUUUGUUACGGGUUCAAGCAUAAUAUUUUAUGUUUAGGCCCUGACCGCCCAUUUGAUCGUCUCUAGUUCAGUUCUAACUUAUCUACACCCUGAUCCGAUCCGCACCGGUUAGCGAACCUACACUAACCAUGUGGCCCAUGACCAAACCCGACCCAACCACUCCAAAGUCUCUCUGGACUCUCUCGGCCUGUAAAGAAGCUACCUCGAACCAUUACCUUCCUCAUAAACCACGCCUACGGCGUUUUUCAUUCCACUUUUCUUCUUUCUUCUUCUUCGCCGUUUUUCUUCGACAGAAUUUUCUGAAAUUCCGACAACUGGUAUGAAGGAAAAAAUGCUAGGGAUUGCACAGAGAAAAGUUGUUCAUAGUGGUGCUUCGGUGGUAGGGCGACAAAUUCAGAGGAAUACUGGACCUUGGCUAUGCUACAGCUGCAAAUAAGAAAACUUAUACCAUCUCCAACAGUGAGACUUGAAGGAGUUUUUUUUUAGGAGAGAGAGAGAGUAUUUUUUGUAAAUGAUACCAAUAAGUUGGUAUCUAAACUUAGCAACUCCAAAAGAAAGUUGCUAAGUUUAGAUACCCAACUUUGAGUCUCACUUGACAAAAAGUGUGGGCUCCUCAUCAAUAUUAUAAAAUAUUUUGUAAUUUAUUGAAGUUUUAAUUUUUUUUUUUAAAAAAAACUUACAAUAUGGAUAUGGUGGACCAUAAAUGAAAAUAACAUUAGUAUACUUUGGGGAGUUUCACCAUUGAGAAAUUAGACUUUACAUGAGUUGCUAAAUUGAGAAGUGGGUUGGGUAUCACCAUUGGAGGUAAAAAAAACAACUCAUUUUGUAUUUCAAUACUCAAAGUUGAGUCUCAGCAAUGGAGAUGGUCUUAUAAUAGAAGUAGAUUUUCCAUGAAGAAAGCUCGGCUUAUGAUUUUCUUUUUCUAUUUUUCAAUAGAUGGUCAAGUGAACCUAUAUAAA